UACGAAGGGGGCUAGCGUUGCUCGGAAUCACUGGCGUAAAGCGCACGUAGGCGGAUUGCUAAGUCAGGGGUGAAAUCCUGGAGCUCAACUCCAGAACUGCCUUUGAUACUGGCGAUCUUGAGUCCGGGAGAGGUGAGUGGAACUGCGAGUGUAGAGGUGAAAUUCGUAGAUAUUCGCAAGAACACCAGUGGCGAAGGCGGCUCACUGGCCCGGUACUGACGCUGAGGUGCGAAAGCGUGGGGAGCAAACAGG
rnacentral:rRNA from 1 species